AUUGAACGCUGGCGGCGGGCCUAACACAUGCAAGUCGAGCGGAUGAAGGGAGCUUGCUCCUGGAUUCAGCGGCGGACGGGUGAGUAAUGCCUAGGAAUCUGCCUGGUAGUGGGGGAUAACGUCCGGAAACGGGCGCUAAUACCGCAUACGUCCUGAGGGAGAAAGUGGGGGAUCUUCGGACCUCACGCUAUCAGAUGAGCCUAGGUCGGAUUAGCUAGUUGGUGGGGUAAAGGCCUACCAAGGCGACGAUCCGUAACUGGUCUGAGAGGAUGAUCAGUCACACGGGAACUGAGACACGGUCCAGACUCCUACGGGAGGCAGCAGUGGGGAAUAUUGGACAAUGGGCGAAAGCCUGAUCCAGCCAUGCCGCGUGUGUGAAGAAGGUCUUCGGAUUGUAAAGCACUUUAAGUUGGGAGGAAGGGCAGUAAGUUAAUACCUUGCUGUUUUGACGUUACCAACAGAAUAAGCACCGGCUAACUUCGUG
rnacentral:rRNA from 1 species